GACGAACGCUGGCGGCGUGCUUAACACAUGCAAGUCGAACGGAAAGGCCCUGCUUUUGUGCGGUGCUCGAGUGGCGAACGGGUGAGUAACACGUGAGUAACCUGCCCUUGUCUUUGGGAUAACUUCAGGAGACUGGGGCUAAUACCGGAUAGGAGCUCCUGCUGCAUGGUGGGGGUUGGAAAGUUUCGGCGGUUGGGGAUGGACUCGCGGCUUAUCAGCUUGUUGGUGGGGUAGUGGCUUACCAAGGCUUUGACGGGUAGCCGGCCUGAGAGGGUGACCGGCGUCAUGGGGACUACGGUACGGCCCAGACUCCUACGGGAGGCAGCAGUGGGGAAUAUUGCACAAUGGGCGGAAGCCUGAUGCAGCGACGCCGCGUGCGGGAUGACGGCCUUCGGGUUGUAAACCGCUUUCGCCGGUGACGAAGCGUGAGUGACGGUAAUGGGUAAAGAAGCACCGGCUAACUACGUG
rnacentral:rRNA from 1 species